CGUGCCUAAUACAUGCAAGUCGAGCGAACAGACGAGGAGCUUGCUCCUCUGACGUUAGCGGCGGACGGGUGAGUAACACGUGGAUAACCUACCUAUAAGACUGGGAUAACUUCGGAAACCGGAGCUAAUACCGGAUAAUAUAUUGAACCGCAUGGUUCAAUAGUGAAAGACGGUUUUGCUGUCACUUAUAGAUGGAUCCGCGCCGCAUUAGCUAGUUGGUAAGGUAACGGCUUACCAAGGCAACGAUGCGUAGCCGACCUGAGAGGGUGAUCGGCCACACUGGAACUGAGACACGGUCCAGACUCCUACGGGAGGCAGCAGUAGGGAAUCUUCCGCAAUGGGCGAAAGCCUGACGGAGCAACGCCGCGUGAGUGAUGAAGGUCUUCGGAUCGUAAAACUCUGUUAUUAGGGAAGAACAAAUGUGUAAGUAACUAUGCACGUCUUGACGGUACCUAAUCAGAAAGCCACGGCUAACUACGUG
rnacentral:rRNA from 1 species